UACGUAGUUGGUAAGCGUUGUUCGGAAUUAUUGGGCGUAAAGCGAGCGCAGGCUGUCCUUUAAGUCUGAUGUGAAAGCCCAUGGCUCAACCGUGGAGGGUCAUUGGAAACUGGAGGACUUGAGUGCAGAAGAGGAAAGUGGAAUUCCACGUGUAGCGGUGAAAUGCGUAGAGAUGUGGAGGAACACCAGUGGCGAAGGCGACUUUCUGGUCUGUAACUGACGCUGAGGCGCGAAAGCGUGGGGAGCAAACAGG
rnacentral:misc_RNA from 1 species